AGAGAUUAACAGGAUUAGAUACCCUGGUAGUCCACGCCCUAAACGAUGAUCACUCGUUGUUGGCAAUACACCGUCAGCGACUAAGCGAAAGCAUUAAGUGAUCCACCUGGGGAGUACGAUCGCAAGGUUGAAACUCAAAGGAAUUGACGGGGGCCCGCACAAGCGGAGGAGCAUGUGGUUUAAUUCGAUGAUACGCGAGGAACCUUACCUGGGCUCAAACGCAGAACGACCUUCACCGAAAGGUGGACUCUCUUCGGAGCGGUCUGCGAGGUGCUGCAUGGUUGUCGUCAGCUCGUGCCGUGAGGUGUCGGGUUAAGUCCCAUAACGAGCGCAACCCCUAUUCUUAGUUGCCAUCAGGUAAUGCUGGGGACUCUAGGAAAACUGCCUACGCAAGUAGUGAGGAAGGUGGGGAUGACGUCAAAUCAGCACGGCCCUUACGUCCAGGGCUACACACGUGCUACAAUGGCCGGUACAGAGGGCAGCCACCUGGUAACAGGGAGCAAAUCUCCAAAGCCGGUCUCAGUUCGGAUCGAAGUCUGCAACUCGACUUCGUGAAGUUGGAUUCGCUAGUAAUCGUAUAUCAGCAAUGAUACGGUGAAUACGUUCCCGGGCCUUGUACACACCGCCCGUCAAGCCAUGGAAGCUGGGGGUACCUGAAGUCCGUCACCGAAAGGAGCGGCCUAGGGUAAAAUCAGUAACUGGGGCUAAGUCGUAACAAGGUAACCAAU
rnacentral:rRNA from 1 species